UGCACGCUCUGUGAACCAGCCCUGUC
rnacentral:piRNA from 1 species